rnacentral:rRNA from 1 species
UACGAAGGGUGCUAGCGUUGUUCGGAAUCACUGGGCGUAAAGCGCGCGUAGGCGGCUUUUCAAGUCAGGGGUGAAAUCCCACGGCUCAACCGUGGAAUUGCCUUUGAAACUGUAAAGCUGGAGUGUCGGAGGGGAUAGCGGAAUUGCUAAUGUAGAGGUGAAAUUCGUAGAUAUUAGCAGGAACACCGGUGGCGAAGGCGGCUAUCUGGACGACAACUGACGCUGAGGCGCGAAAGCGUGGGGAUCAAACAGG